AUUGAACGCUGGCGGCAGGCCUCACACAUGCAAGUCGAACGAGUGGCGGACGGGUGAGUAAUGUCUGGGAAACUGCCUGAUGGAGGGGGCUAACUACUGGAAACGGUAGCUAAUACCGCAUACCAUCGGAUGUGCCCAGCUGGGAGUAGCGAGUAGGUGGGGUAAAGGCUCACCUAGGCGACGAUCCCUAGCUGGUCUGAGAGGAUGACCAGACACACUAGGACUGAGACACGGUGCAGGAUCCUACGGGAGGCAGCAGUGGGGAAGAUGGCACAAGGGGGGAAAGCCGGAUGCAGCCAGGCCGGGUGUAUGAAGAAGGCCUUCGGGGUGUAAAGUACUUUCAGCGGGGAGGCGUUACCCGCAGAAGAAGCACCGGCUAACGCCGUGCCAGCAACCGCGGUAAUUC
rnacentral:rRNA from 1 species